rnacentral:rRNA from 1 species
UCCGUAGGUGAACCUGCGGAGGGAUCAUUACCGAGUUCAUGCCCUUACGGGUAGAUCUCCUACCCUGUGUUAUUAUUACCUUUGUUGCUUUAGCGGGCCGCCAGAUUUCGGUCAGGCUACCGGCUUCGGCUGGUAAGCGCCCGCCAGAGGACCCCAAAACCUGAAUAUUAGUGUCGUCUGAGUACUAUAUAAUAGUUAAAACUUUCAACAACGGAUCUCUUGGUUCUGGCAUCGAUGAAGAACGCAGCGAAAUGCGAUAAGUAAUGUGAAUUGCAGAAUUCAGUGAAUCAUCGAAUCUUUGAACGCACAUUGCGCCCCUUGGCAUUCCGAGGGGCAUGCCUGUUCGAGCGUCAUUACAACCCUCAAGCACUGCUUGGUAUUGGGCCCCGCUGCUUAUCCAGCGGGCCUUAAAAUUAGUGGCGGUGUCACCAAGACCCUGAGCGUAGUAAAUAUCCUCGCUAUAGGGACUUGGUGAUUGCUGGCCAGCAACCCCCAACUUUCUAAGUUUGACCUCGGAUCAGGUAGGGAUACCCGCUGAACUUAAGCAUAUCAAUAAGCGGAGGA